GAUUAACGCUAGCGGCAGGCAUAAUACAUGCAAGUUGAACGAGAUUAGUUUAGCAAUAGAACUAGUUUAGUGGCGCACGGGUGCGUAACGCGUAUGCAACCUACCUUAAACAGGGGAAUAGCCUCUCGAAAGAGAGAUUAAUACCGCAUAAUAUAUAUUUAAUGCAUAUUAGAUAUAUUAAACCUACGGGGUUUAAGAUGGGCAUGCGUGACAUUAGCUAGUUGGUGAGGUAACGGCUCACCAAGGCAACGAUGUCUAGGGGUCUGAGAGGAUGUCCCCCGACACUGGUACUGAGACACGGACCAGACUCCUACGGGAGGCAGCAGUAGGGAAUAUUGGUCAAUGGGGGGCAACCCUGAACCAGCCAUGCCGCGUGCAGGAAUAAGGCCCUAU
rnacentral:rRNA from 1 species